rnacentral:rRNA from 1 species
ACGGGAGGCAGCAGUGGGGAAUAUUGGACAAUGGGCGCAAGCCUGAUCCAGCGACGCCGCGUGAGUGAAGAAGUAUUUCGGUAUGUAAAGCUCUAUCAGCAGGGAAGAUAAUGACGGUACCUGACUAAGAAGCCCCGGCUAACUACGUGCCAGCAGCCGCGGUAAUACGUAGGGGGCAAGCGUUAUCCGGAUUUACUGGGUGUAAAGGGAGCGUAGACGGUAUGGCAAGUCUGAUGUGAAAACCCAGGGCUCAACCCUGGGACUGCAUUGGAAACUGUCAAACUAGAGUGCAGGAGAGGUAAGCGGAAUUCCUAGUGUAGCGGUGAAAUGCGUAGAUAUUAGGAGGAACACCAGUGGCGAAGGCGGCUUACUGGACUGUAACUGACGUUGAGGCUCGAAGGUGCGGGUAUCGAACAGGAUUAGAUACCCUGGUA